GUGAGGAAUAUUGCGCAAUGGAGGCAACUCUGACGCAGCCAUGCCGCGUGCAGGAAGAAGGCGCUACGCGUUGUAAACUGCUUUUAACCGGGAAGAAACCCCAGGACGUGUCCUGGGUUGACGGUACCGGAGGAAUAAGCACCGGCUAACUUCGUGCCAGCAGCCGCGGUAAUACGAAGGGUGCAAGCGUUAUCCGGCUUCAUUGGGUUUAAAGGGUGCGUAGGCGGAGCGUUAAGUCAGUGGUGAAAUCCUGCAGCUUAACUGUAGACUUGCCAUUGAUACUGGCGCUCUUGAGUGCGCUUGAAGUGGGCGGAAUGUGCCGUGUAGCGGUGAAAUGCUUAGAUAUGGCACAGAACACCAAUUGCGAAGGCAGCUCACUAAGGCGAUACUGACGCUGAGGCACGAAAGCGUGGGGAUCGAACAGGAUUAGAUACCCUAGUAGUCC
rnacentral:rRNA from 1 species